rnacentral:misc_RNA from 1 species
AGAUGUGGCACCGCCGCCUUUAUUAUGACUGAGAGUGGCGGGUAAAGUGUUGCUCGCCUUCAUGUAAGCUGGCCCCAGCCACUUGGUCGUCGUCGCUCUCAACCAACAACUUCAUGUAAGCAGCCCUAUCACACACAAGCACAAGCUCUGCAGAACUUCACUUGGUCAUCAUGAGUGAAUUUAAAAUUCAUCACCAUGUGAGUGAGCUGUUUUCCAUUUUAGGGAUCCAAUCAGAUGCUGCUGAGAAAUACACAGAAACCUUAGGUCAGUCUGUUCAGAGAUAUAUGAACACACAAGUGUCGGCUUCAAGUGCAGUGCGCAUCUUGUCUGAGAAUGCCCCUGACCCACAAGCCUUCCUCAGUAAAUAUGAUGAACUCAAGAGUCGCAACAUUCGAGAUUUGGACCCAUUAGUAGUGUUCCUGAGUGGUCUGGUAGAAGAUGAAACUGUGCGAAAGGCAGUGGAAGGUAGCUCAAAGUUGAGAUUGCAAGAGGAUGGUAUGACACUUAUGACAAUUCCCUCGAUUGUUUCCGACAUUGAACAUGCUGUUGAGACAAAGCUGUCCAGGGAUCAGCUCAAUGAGCUCAGGGACCGAUUGCUAAGGGAAUCACAGGUUACACAUGCCCCCAGUGAAGCCCUACAGAGUGUAGAAAGGGGAGAAAGGAGAACUGUACGUUUAGGGCCUCCGACUCCAAGCUGGUUAACAUCAAGACCAUAUCUCUCACUAGAUUUUGUGAAUCUGGAACAUAGACAAGAGCUUGGGGCACUAGGAGAUAUAGCAUCAACGUCACAGGAGCACCAGCUGAUAGAGGAUGUGUUGAGUGUGAUGAUGGGAAUUGAAGGGAUGUACAUCACAGUUCAACCCCCUACCAAACAUUAUGAUCCCCCUGAGUUUACAGUUGAUCCUUCUGUAGAACCAUCCCUAAGUACACUGGUGAGUCGAAUCCUGCCUUUAUGUGGUUACUACUCUCAGCUUAUAAGAUUUGUUGAAAACAAGAGUUGCUACCACCAUGGGCUGGUGAACCAGGCACUGUCUGCAGCUAUAACAAACCUCAUCAAGGACUAUAUGCUGCUGGUGACACAACUAGAAGAACAGCACCAACAUUGGGCUCUCACCCUGCAUAAGCUUUAUUUCUAUGUGGAGAAGACAAUGUCAGUCAUGGAUAUGCUAGCGUGUGUAACAAAAGUGAUCAACAAAUCCGAGGCCCAUGGUGGAGCAGUUCUAAGCAUCCUUCAUGACCGCACUGUCAGCCUCACAGGUUGUGGACAGCUUCAGGAUGUUAUGGUCUUUCUGACACAGUCUGCAGCUGUUCCUUAUAUGAAUAUGCUGGCUAAAUGGCUGUACAGAGGCAUUAUAAAUGACCCAUAUAAUGAGUUCAUGGUGAUAGACAGAGAGAGUGGUGGGGAAGAGAAUGAAGAGGAAGAUCUGGCUGAUGAUUACUGGGAAAAGCGUUAUACAACAAUUCCCCAAAACAUUCCUACAUUUCUACAGGUUCAUGCAAAUGUCAUUCUUCGUACUGGAAAAUACUUAAAUGUUAUCAGACAAUCUGAUCAUAGUGUAGUGUGUCCAGAUCAAGAGGAACUUGUAUAUAGUGUGCGUGAUCGGUCAUAUGCAGAAGUGAUUGAACGAACAUACAAUUUUGCUUCCAAGCGACUACUGGAGCUGCUGAUGAAAGAAAAGGACCUGAUGGGCCGAUUAAGAUCUGUGAAACAUUACUUCCUAUUAGACCAAGGUGAUUUUGUUGUCCAGUUAAUGAGCUUAUGUGAGGAUGAGUUGAGUAAGAAUAUUGAUGAUGUUGUGCCCACAAGACUUGAAUCACUGUUGGAGUUAGCACUACGAACAUCAGCAGCCAAUUCCGAUCUAUAUAAAGAUGACAUUGAAUGUGACCUACAACCUAUAACCCUGAUGAAUCAAAUGUUAAGGAUUCUGAGCAUUGAGACAGAGGCUGAACGAGACUACUACCCACAGGAGGAGCGUCUGCAACUAACUGGACUUCAGGGGUUUUCACUUGGUUAUCGGGUAACGUGGCCGGUGUCACUAGUACUGGAUCGCAAAACUAUAGCGUGCUACCAGAUGAUCUUCAGACAUCUCUUUUAUUGCAAACAUGUGGAGAAAUUGCUGUGCAGAGUUUGGGUUAGUAAUAAGGUGGCCAAAAGCUUUCCUCUGUCAGCCUCCCGCACCUACACUGCAGCUUUUGCUUUAAGACAGCGGAUGCUCAACUUCAUUCAGAAUAUUGAGUAUUAUAUGAUGUUUGAAGUAAUUGAGCGCAACUGGCAGACGUUCAUUAAUAAAAUGCAAAAGGUGGAGAAUGUCGAUGAAGUGCUUGCAUUCCAUAAUGAUUUUCUGAAUGGAUGCUUAAAGGACUGCAUGCUAACUUCACCAGAACUGCUGCGCAUGAUCUCCAAACUUACCAGCAUUUGUGUCAGUUUUGCCAAUUUUAUUGAGAGAAUGAGAAAGUACUACUUGGAAGCGGAACUAUGGAUGUCUGAUGAACGAAGAGACUCAUUAGAUCGCGAGGAGUCCCCUGAGCCAGCGACGACACAUGAAGACAGCCAAAGCUUUGAGCAGACCAUAUCAAGGUUUGAGCUUCAGUUCUCUGGCAUGAUCUACACACUAAUGGAGAGAAUCUCAGAAAUGGGUCGGGACAAUUACAAUGAUGCAUUGGUUAAUGUAAUAUAUAGGCAGCAUCCGCGUUGCAUGCUCCAAGCCGCCCCGUGGCCUGGUCGACAACCGGGCAGCGAGGUCGCUAAGCCCAGGAAUCGCCUCGAGGUAACGGGGUAACGUGGCCAAGUGACCCCGAGUGCUACAUCACUCAGCGCCCACAAUUUGCUCAACUUCCCAGCUUCAUCACGGCUAAAAUUGGACUUCAAUAUGUACUAUGCCAAGAAGCAUGAGCACCUCCGAAUGGCAACGUCUCCAGAAACAUCACUGGAUUAUAACAGUGGUCCUGUUUCAGCUGAAUAUGAUAGUCAACACAUUUAGAAACUUC